AACCAUAGAAACCUGCGGAGUACCUGCGGAAGGAUCAUUAUUGGAAAACCUUUUCUAUAAGUUGCAGGAGGGGGGGGAAGAGUGGGCUUUUCUGGUCACUUCCUUCUUUCUUUCUCUUCUGCUUCUUCAAACAAACGAUCACAACUAUAUUGAGAGAUUGAAUGAAUUGGAUGAUAAUGAUUUGGUGGUGGGGAAAAGAGACAAGUGCGGGGCAGAUAGACAGAAAUGUCUUGUUUGUUC
rnacentral:misc_RNA from 1 species